rnacentral:rRNA from 1 species
UACGGAGGGUGCGAGCGUUGUCCGGAAUCACUGGGCGUAAAGGGCGCGUAGGCGGCCCGAUAAGUAGGGGGUGAAAUCCUGCGGCUCAACCGCAGGGCUGCCUUCUAAACUGUCGAGCUCGAGCACGGUAGAGGCAGAUGGAAUUCCCGGUGUAGCGGUGGAAUGCGUAGAGAUCGGGAAGAACAUCAGUGGCGAAGGCGGUCUGCUGGGCCGUUGCUGACGCUGAGGCGCGACAGCGUGGGGAGCAAACAGG